rnacentral:pre_miRNA from 1 species
AAAGAGACCAGCUGGGGAUCUUGUUAAAAUGCAGAUUCUGAUUCAGUUGGUGUAGGGUCAAGCCUGAGUUUCUGCAUUUUUAAUAAGCUCCCAGUUGAUGCCAGA